UACGUAGGGUGCGAGCGUUGUCCGGAAUUAUUGGGCGUAAAGGGCUCGUAGGCGGUUUGUCGCGUCGGGAGUGAAAACACCGGGCUUAACUCGGUGCUUGCUUUCGAUACGGGCAGACUAGAGGUAUGCAGGGGAGAACGGAAUUCCUGGUGUAGCGGUGAAAUGCGCAGAUAUCAGGAGGAACACCGGUGGCGAAGGCGGUUCUCUGGGCAACAACUGACGCUGAGGAGCGAAAGCGUGGGGAGCGAACAGG
rnacentral:rRNA from 1 species